rnacentral:rRNA from 1 species
CCUACGGGGGGCUGCAGUGGGGUAUAUUGCACAAUGGGCGCAAGCCUGAUGCAGCCAUGCCGCGUGUGUGAAGAAGGCCUUCGGGUUGUAAAGCACUUUCAGCGGGGAGGAAGGCGUUAAGGUUAAUAACCUUGGCGAUUGACGUUACCCGCAGAAGAAGCACCGGCUAACUCCGUGCCAGCAGCCGCGGUAAUACGGAGGGUGCAAGCGUUAAUCGGAAUUACUGGGCGUAAAGCGCACGCAGGCGGUCUGUCAAGUCGGAUGUGAAAUCCCCGGGCUCAACCUGGGAACUGCAUUCGAAACUGGCAGGCUAGAGUCUUGUAGAGGGGGGUAGAAUUCCAGGUGUAACGGUGAAAUGCGUAGAGAUCUGGAGGAAUACCGGUGGCGAAGGCGGCCCCCUGGACAAAGACUGACGCUCAGGUGCGAAAGCGUGGGGAGCAAACAGGAUUAGAUACCCGGGUAGUC